UACAGAGGGUGCGAGCGUUAAUCGGAAUUACUGGGCGUAAAGCGCACGUAGUCGGCUUUGCAAGUCGGUUGUGAAAUCCCCGGGCUCAGCCUGGGAACUGCAUCCGAGACUGCAUUGCUAGAGUAUGGGAGAGGAAAGCGGAAUUUCUGGUGUAGCAGUGAAAUGCGUAGAUAUCAGAAGGAACAUCAGUGGCGAAGGCGGCUUUCUGGACCAAUACUGACGAUCAGGUGCGAAAGCGUGGGGAGCAAACAGG
rnacentral:rRNA from 1 species